rnacentral:rRNA from 1 species
UACGUAGGGUGCAAGCAUUAUCCGGAGUGACUGGGCGUAAAGAGUUGCGUAGGUGGUUCGUAAAGUGAAUAGUGAAAUCUGGUGGCUCAACCAUACAGGCUAUUAUUCAAACUCACGAACUCGAGAAUGGUAGAGGUAACUGGAAUUUCUUGUGUAGGAGUGAAAUCCGUAGAUAUAAGAAGGAACACCAAUGGCGUAGGCAGGUUACUGGACCAUUUCUGACACUGAGGCACGAAAGCGUGGGGAGCGAACCGG